UUUUUGUAGUCGCAGAAAAAUGACGCAACUGAAGCGUAUAAAAGCGUCCGUCCCCCCACAUGACGUUCUCUUGAGUCGUUGCUAUCGCUUGACGAGAACCAUCUUCUCAUCAUGAGAGCGAAGUGGCGAAAGAAGCGCAUGCGCAGGCUGAAGCGUAAAAGGAGAAAGAUGAGGCAGAGGUCAAAGUAAACUGGACCCCGUUUGCUGAAGCUGAGUGCUCCACUUCUAUCUCCUCAGCAAGCGUCUGAUGGAAGCCCAACUGAAUCUCCACUCAUCACCAUCUGUGAGGCCUGCUUCUGAAUAAGGAUUUGGUUUUUCAUCACCUAGUUCUGAAGAAGCAUCCUGGUCUUGAUGACCAUGUGAACUGUUUUGGACACUCCUCAGACCUGUCAGCUCAGUAUAUUUCUUAAUGUCUUCAAUAAAUCUUUCGGUUUAAAG